GAUAUUUGUAGCUGUUUCUUUGAUGCCGCUUUGUAUAAAUUCGACUUUGUAGCAGACCAGCUCUACAUUCUCGCAAUGGCAUGCACAAGAGAGCACACUACAGACGGGGAGAGAGCAACUUCAUGCACGUUUAAAAUAGUAAUGAUUCUUCUGGCCUGGAACCUAAUUCCCACUGCCUUGGUAAUCACAGCCUUUGUGGAGCUACGAAGCAAUUUAAAAGGGGAACUAGAACGCGGUAUCAAAGUGAAUGAGUCACGGCCUGCACUGGUGCACUUAACCGGGCAUCACAGCGACCGGGGAAAAUUGAAUGAUGAAGUGCUGGAUAUUUG